rnacentral:lncRNA from 1 species
UCACCAAAGGUAUGUCUUUACAAAACCAUAGUUCAGCUAUACACAGCUGACUAUCAUCUAUGAUAAAACUAGCUAGCAUCUACAUUACUAUACCUAUGUUUCUAAUUACAGGAGAUAAUGCAGUAGGUGUACAUUAACUUUAGGGGACUCUUAACAUGACAUGUAUAAGCAAUGCUUCUAAGUAGAUGUCCACUGGAACAUGAAGUGUGAUUGAACAAUCUGGAGUUUCUUUCUAACCAAAUACUGUAAAGCAUUUCAGCAAAGACCAUUUUCAUCAUUUGAGCUCGACCAGAUUUCCGUUUAGACUUGGUUAUGAUCCACUGAAUGUAUUGUUCUCAAUUCUGGUAAUUGUCUUGAGUUACUCCAGUCCAUUGUAAAGUGUGAUGUCUCAGCAAGGAGGUGAAUGAACAUGAGAAGAACAGAUGAUCCCUAGUCNNN